UCCCCGUUCACCGGGGCAGUCCCCUCAGAGUGCCCGGCAUGACCCGGUAGCAACAGAGGGCGAGGGUUGCGCUCGUUAUGGGACUUAACCCGACACCUCACGGCACGAGCUGACGACAGCCAUGCAGCACCUAGACAGAUGUUCUUGCGAAAAAUCUCUUUUCAGAGACGGUCAUCUGUCUUUCAAGCCCAGGUAAGGUUCCUCGCGUACCAUCGAAUUAAACCACAUGCUCCUCCGCUUGUGCGGGCCCCCGUCAAUUCCUUUGAGUUUCAACCUUGCGGCCGUAGUCCCCAGGCGGUGAACUUAAUGCGUUAGCUGCGGCACUGAUCGGGUCAAUCCGACCAACACCUAGUUCACAACGUUUAGGGCGUGGACUAC
rnacentral:misc_RNA from 1 species